GACGAACGCUGGCGGCUGUGCUUAACACAUGCAAGUCGAACGGAAAGGCCCUGCUUUUGUGGGGUGCUCGAGUGGCGAACGGGUGAGUAACACGUGAGUAACCUGCCCUUGACUUUGGGAUAACUUCAGGAAACUGGGGCUAAUACCGGAUAGGAGCUCCUGCUGCAUGGUGGGGGUUGGAAAGUUUCGGCGGUUGGGGAUGGACUCGCGGCUUAUCAGCUUGUUGGUGGGGUAGUGGCUUACCAAGGCUUUGACGGGUAGCCGGCCUGAGAGGGUGACCGGCCACAUUGGGACUGAGAUACGGCCCAGACUCCUACGGGAGGCAGCAGUGGGGAAUAUUGCACAAUGGGCGGACGCCUGAUGCAGCAACGCCGCGUGCGGGAUGACGGCCUUCGGGUUGUAAACCGCUUUCGCCUGUGACGAAGCGUGAGUGACGGUAAUGGGUAAAGAAGCACCGGCUAACUACGUGCCAGCAGCCGCGGUGAUACGUAGGGUGCGAGCGUUGUCCGGAUUUAUUGGGCGUAAAGGGCUCGUAGGUGGUUGAUCGCGUCGGAAGUGUAAUCUUGGGGCUUAACCCUGAGCGUGCUUUCGAUACGGGUUGACUUGAGGAAGGUAGGGGAGAAUGGAAUUCCUGGUGGAGCGGUGGAAUGCGCAGAUAUCAGGAGGAACACCAGUGGCGAAGGCGGUUCUCUGGGCCUUUCCUGACGCUGAGGAGCGAAAGCGUGGGGAGCGAACAGGCUUAGAUACCCUGGUAGUCCACGCUGUAAACGGUGGGUACUAGGUGUGGGGUCCAUUCCACGGGUUCCGUGCCGUAGCUAACGCUUUAAGUACCCCGCCUGGGGAGUACGGCCGCAAGGCUAAAACUCAAAGGAAUUGACGGGGCCCCGCACAAGCGGCGGAGCAUGCGGAUUAAUUCGAUGCAACGCGUAGAACCUUACCUGGGUUUGACAUGGAUCGGGAGUGCUCAGAGAUGGGUGUGCCUCUUUUGGGGUCGGUUCACAGGUGGUGCAUGGCUGUCGUCAGCCCGUGUCGUGAGAUGUUGGGUUAAGUCCCGCAACGAGCGCAACCCUUGUUCACUGUUGCCAGCACGUUAUGGUGGGGACUCAGUGGAGACCGCCGGGGUCAACUCGGAGGAAGGUGGGGAUGACGUCAAGUCAUCAUGCCCCUUAUGUCCAGGGCUUCACGCAUGCUACAAUGGCUGGUACAGAGAGUGGCGAGCCUGUGAGGGUGAGCGAAUCUCGGAAAGCCGGUCUCAGUUCGGAUUGGGGUCUGCAACUCGACCUCAUGAAGUCGGAGUCGCUAGUAAUCGCAGAUCAGCAACGCUGCGGUGAAUACGUUCCCGGG
rnacentral:rRNA from 1 species